rnacentral:misc_RNA from 1 species
UCUCCGUUGGUGAACCAGCGGAGGGAUCAUUAUAGAGUUUUUCAAACUCCCAACCCAUGUGAACUUACCAAUGUUGCCUCGGCAGAGGCUACCCGGUACCUACCCUGGAACGGCCUACCCUGUAGCGCCUUACCCGGGAGCGGGUUACCCUGUAGCGGCUGCCGGUGGACUACCAAACUCUUGUUAUUUUAUUGUUAUCUGAGCGUCUUAUUUUAAUAAGUCAAAACUUUCAACAACGGAUCUCUUGGUUCUGGCAUCGAUGAAGAACGCAGC